CUUUAUUUCAAUCUGCCAAUGCUCUUGGUAAUUCCAGUUUGCCUAAUAGUCAACUUGUUUUUUUGUAAUGUUCGAGCAUUCGCUGAAAUUACUGAUCGUAUUCAAAAUUGUUGCUAAAUUGACGAUUAACCCUUGUUUCCAUGGAUAGCGAGAGGUGUGACGUGGUAUGUUUAUAGCUAUUGUGCAGUAUACACCUUGCUUACAGGUUGCCACAACUCCGCCGGUUGGAUCCACUAAACUUCCAAUGUGUCCUGUUUGCAUUGGUGUGCUUACAGUUUUGUAUUUUUGUUUCUUAGGGCCCACGCCACCAUGAUGUCACAUUUCAAUUCAUUUUGUGACCUCUGAUGAAGAGAUUUAAACACAUCUGUUCUAUCCUAUCCAUAGUUUUAACUUCAAAUAUUGUUCUAUUUAAUGCCACAACAACAUAUAUCUUUACUAUGUCAUAUUAUAUAUGAUUUUGUUGGCUUACAACCUCUCGAUAGGGCGCCCGAAUGGGCGCCUCAUGUUCUAGUUAUAUUUAUGACGUAUCUUAUAUAAUUUUCCCUCCGUAAUCCAUGCAGCGUGUCAAUGGAUGUUUGCAAAGACAACAGAUGCCAAUGCAGACUGGCUUCUUCCUAACAACAAACCUCAACAAGCCAAGAGAGACGACAAUUGGCGACGUAGGAAAAAAGACGCAUUAAUCAAUAACGUGUGGAUUCCUGGCAGUGGCGUAGACAAGGGGCUCUAAGGUUUGUACAAACAUAUAAAUACAUAUUAAUUACUACUAUUUUUUAAAUAGUUAAGUAUAUAAAAAC
rnacentral:lncRNA from 1 species